AACGAACGCUGGCGGCGCGCCUAAUACAUGCAAGUCGAGCGAGAAGACGUAGCAAUACGUUUGUAAAGCGGCGAACGGGUGAGGAAUACAUGGGUAACCUACCCUCGAGUGGGGAAUAACUAGCCGAAAGGUUAGCUAAUACCGCGUACGCUCCUUGGACUUCGGUUCAGGGAGGAAAGCGAUACCGUGGGUAUCGCGCUCUUGGAUGGGCUCAUGUCCUAUCAGCUUGUUGGUGAGGUAACGGCUCACCAAGGCUUCGACGGGUAGCUGGUCUGAGAGGACAAUCAGCCACACUGGCACUGCGACACGGGCCAGACUCCUACGGAGGCAGCAGUAAGGAAUAUUGCGCAAUGGGCGAAAGCCUGCGCAGCGACGCCGCGUGGGGGAUGAAGGUCUUC
rnacentral:rRNA from 1 species